rnacentral:misc_RNA from 1 species
CCGAGAGUCAUCUCUCCACCCACGUGUGUACCGUCCUCUGUUUCUUCGGCGGGCCGGCCCGCUCCGGCCCGUCGGUGGCAACUCCGUCGUGGAACCUGCGGUCUGAGUUGGGCUUCCAAAUGAACA